rnacentral:rRNA from 1 species
AGAGAGAGACAUGCGCGCAUAUCAAUAAGCGGAGGAAAAGUCAACUACCUACGCUUAGGAUGUUGAAGUCAUCGUAUCGCGCGUGCUUGAUCUAUACAUGACUCUGCGCAUAUCAAUAAGCGGAGGAAAAGAAACUAACAAGGAUUCCCCUAGUAACGGCGAGUGAAGCGGGAAGAGCUCAAAUUUGAAUCUUAAAGGGUUUCCCUUUACGAAUUGUAGUUUAAAGAAGUGUUUUCUGUUGAGGUUUUGGUAAAAGUUCUUUGGAAUAGGACAUCAUAGAGGGUGAGAAUCCCGUAUUUGACCUUUACUUUCAACUUUGUGAUACACUUUCAAAGAGUCGGAUUGUUUGGGAAUGCAGUCCAAAAUGGGUGGUAAAUUUCAUCUAAAGCUAAAUAUAGGCGAGAGACCGAUAGCGAACAAGUACCGUGAGGGAAAGAUGAAAAGAACUUUGAAAAGAGAGUUAAACAGUACGUGAAAUUGUCAAAAGGGAAGCGUUUGACACCAGUGUCGUUUUUCUGAAAAUCAAUUAAAGAACUGUUUAUGCUAAGUUGUUUAGACUUUAUCAGCUAACUGUUUAGUUUUGAGCUUUUCUUUAAUGCACUUUUCAGUUAACAAGUCAACAUCAAUUUCUUUUGCUGUAAAAAAGCUUGAGGAAGGUGGCUUGAGAUUCGUCUUAAGUGUGUAUAGCCUCUUGCCUAUGCAGUCGGAGAGAUUGAGGUCUGCAGCGUAGAUCCUUCGGGGCUAAAUGCAUUUGUGCUAAGUUAUAGCAUUUUAUAGACAACUUGUUGACUAUGAUUUGUCUUGUAGCUUACUCGCUUAUGUUAUUUUACCUACGCUUAGGAUGUUGAGCGCAUGUCUCUCUCU